AUGCUCCUGCUUCUGCUGCUGGAUCGAGGGUUGAGUUUUCUUGUGUGCUUUGCUUGGACUGAUGAUAUUGUGUGGCGUUGUUGCCAAUGCCUGAUGUGGGAGCUUAUGGUGGCUCUCACCUUGUGUUAUAUAUAUUGUGGCUUUCAAAUAAGAGACGGACAGGUCGGUGCCUGCAUACACAGACCUGGCCGACGCGCGCCCGUGUGUGGUUUGCGACUGCAGUGGCUAUGUGUGUGCAUCCACCAGGCUGCAUUUGCGCAGGCGUGUGUGUGGUUUAAUGAGUGCCUGCUUGCUAUGCAUGUGGAGUUGUAA
rnacentral:rRNA from 1 species